rnacentral:rRNA from 1 species
AGACGGAGGGGGCUAGCGUUAUUCGGAAUUACUGGGCGUAAAGGGCGCGUAGGCGGAUUAGUAAGUUGAGAGUGAAAGCCCGGGGCUUAACCUCGGAACUGCUUUCAAAACUGCUAGUCUUGAGUGAAGUAGGGGGUGAUGGAAUUCCUAGUGUAGAGGUGAAAUUCUUAGAUAUUAGGAGGAACACCGGUGGCGAAGGCGGUCACCUGGACUUCAACUGACGCUGAGGCGCGAAAGCGUGGGGAGCAAACAGGAUUAGAAACCCUAGUAGUCC